rnacentral:rRNA from 1 species
UAAUACAGAGGUCCCAAGCGUUGUUCGGAUUCACUGGGCGUAAAGGGUGCGUAGGCGGUCGGGUAAGUCUGAUGUGAAAUCUCCAAGCUCAACUUGGAAAUGGCAUCGGAUACUAUCCGGCUCGAGGAAUGGAGGGGAGACUGGAAUUCUCGGUGUAGCAGUGAAAUGCGUAGAUAUCGAGAGGAACACCAGUGGCGAAGGCGAGUCUCUGGACAUUUCCUGACGCUGAGGCACGAAAGCCAGGGGAGCAAACGGG